ensembl:lncRNA
AAAGAUAGAAUUUCAUGACUUUUUGCAAAAAAAAUUUGGCAUUCUUUUCAGACUUGGAAGUUUUAAAAAAGUUUUUUCCAUUACUUUUACAAGUAUGGAGUGAACCCCAUGCAGCCUUAGCCUACACCAAAGGCGCCACUGGGUGGAGUUGACGAGGCAUCUGUCUGUGAGGCGAGAGUGCUAACCACUACACCACUGUACCGUGUCAACUGCAGCUAUUAGAAUGUCUUAUGACUCCAAUUUAGAAAAAAUUCAGAUUUUUAUUCAAAAGUACGUUUUCUCAUCGUCGUCCCCCUUCAUAUGACUAAAGAUAGAAUUUCAUGACUUUUUGCAAAAUAUUUUGGCAUUCUUUUCAGACUCGGAAGUUUAAAAAAAGUGUUUUCCAUUACUUUUACAAAUAUGGAGUGAACCCCAUGCAGGCUUAGCCUAAACCACCUAACACAGAAGCGCCACUGGGCAGAGUUGAACCCGAGGCAUCUGUCUUGGAGGCGAGAGUGCUAACCACUACACCACUGUACCGUGUCAACUGCUUUAAUUAGAAUGUCUUAUGACUCCAAUUUAGAAAAAAUUCAGAUUUUUUUCAAAAGUACAUUUUCUCACCGUCGUCCCCCUUCAUAUGACUAAAGAUAGAAUUUCAUGACUUUUUGCAAAAAAUGUUGGCAUUCUUUUCAGACUUGGAAGUUUAAAAAAAGUUUUUUCCAUUAGUUUUAAAAGUAUGGCGUGAACCCUAUGCAGACUUAGCCUACACCAAAGGCGCCACUGGGUGGAGUUGAACCCGAGGCAUCUGUCUGGGAGGCGAGAGUGCUAACCACUACACCACUGUACCGUGUCAACUGCUGCCAUUAGAAUGUCGUAUGACUCCAAUUUAGAAAAUAUCCGGAUUUUUAUUCAAAAGUACGUUUUCUCACCAUCUUCCCCCUUCAUAUGACUAAAGAUAGAAUUUCAUGACUUUUUGCAAAAUAUUUUGGCAUUCUUUUCAAAGUUGGAAGUUUAAAAAAAGUUUUUUCCAUUACUUUUACAA